rnacentral:rRNA from 1 species
AACGCUAGCUACAGGCUUAACACAUGCAAGUCGAGGGGAAACGAUAUUGGAAGCUUGCUUCCGAUAGGCGUCGACCGGCGCACGGGUGAGUAACGCGUAUCCAACCUGCCCACCACUUGGGGAUAACCUUGCGAAAGUAAGACUAAUACCCAAUGACGUCUCUAGAAGACAUCUGAAAGGGAUUAAAGAUUUAUCGGUGAUGGAUGGGGAUGCGUCUGAUUAGCUUGUUGGCGGGGUAACGGCCCACCAAGGCGACGAUCAGUAGGGGUUCUGAGAGGAAGGUCCCCCACAUUGGAACUGAGACACGGUCCAAACUCCUACGGGAGGCAGCAGUGAGGAAUAUUGGUCAAUGGACGAGAGUCUGAACCAGCCAAGUAGCGUGCAGGAUGACGGCCCUAUGGGUUGUAAACUGCUUUUAUAAGGGAAUAAAGUGAGUCUCGUGAGACUUUUUGCAUGUACCUUAUGAAUAAGGACCGGCUAAUUCCGUGCCAGCAGCCGCGGUAAUACGGAAGGUCCGGGCGUUAUCCGGAUUUAUUGGGUUUAAAGGGAGCGUAGGCCGGAGAUUAAGCGUGUUGUGAAAUGUAGACGCUCAACGUCUGCACUGCAGCGCGAACUGGUUUCCUUGAGUACGCACAAAGUGGGCGGAAUUCGUGGUGUAGCGGUGAAAUGCUUAGAUAUCACGAAGAACUCCGAUUG